rnacentral:rRNA from 1 species
UAGGGAAUCUUCGGCAAUGGACGAAAGUCUGACCGAGCAACGCCGCGUGAGUGAAGAAGGUUUUCGGAUCGUAAAACUCUGUUGGUAGAGAAGAACGUUGGUGAGAGUGGAAAGCUCAUCAAGUGACGGUAACUACCCAGAAAGGGACGGCUAAAUACGUGCUAG